rnacentral:rRNA from 1 species
UGGGGAAUUUUGGACAAUUGGGCGAAAGCCUGAUCCAGCAAUGCCGCGUGUGUGAAGAAGGCCUUCGGGUUGUAAAGCACUUUUGUCCGGAAAGAAAUCCUUGGCUCUAAUACAGUCGGGGGAUGACGGUACCGGAAGAAUAAGCACCGGCUAACUACGUGCCAGCAGCCGCGGUAAUACGUAGGGUGCAAGCGUUAAUCGGAAUUACUGGGCGUAAAGCGUGCGCAGGCGGUUUGCUAAGACCGAUGUGAAAUCCCCGGGCUCAACCUGGGAACUGCAUUGGUGACUGGCAGGCUAGAGUAUGGCAGAGGGGGGUAGAAUUCCACGUGUAGCAGUGAAAUGCGUAGAGAUGUGGAGGAAUACCGAUGGCGAAGGCAGCCCCCUGGGCCAAUACUGACGCUCAUGCACGAAAGCGUGGGGGAGCAAAACAGGAUUAGAUACCCCUGGUAGUCCACGCCCUAAACGAUGUCAACUAGUUGUUGGGGAUUCAUUUCCUUAGUAACGUAGCUAACGCGUGAAGUUGACCGCCUGGGGAGUACGGUCGCAAGAUUAAAACUCAAAU